CCUACGGGUGGCAGCAGUAGGGAAUAUUGCUCAAUGGGGGAAACCCUGAAGCAGCAACGCCGCGUGGAGGAUGAAGGUUUUCGGAUUGUAAACUUCUUUUGUUAGAGAAGAUAAUGACGGUAUCUAACGAAUAAGCACCGUCUAAUUCCGUGCCAGCAGCCGCGGUAAUACGGAGGGUGCAAGCGUUACUCGGAAUCACUGGGCGUAAAGAGCGCGUAGGCGGGAUAGCAAGUCAGAUGUGAAAUCCUAUGGCUUAACCAUAGAACUGCAUUUGAAACUGUUAGUCUAGAGUAUGGGAGAGGUAGGUGGAAUUCUUGGUGUAGCGGUAAAAUGCGUAGAGAUCAAGAGGAAUACUCAUUGCGAAGGCGACCUGCUAGAACAUAACUGACGCUGAUGCGCGAAAGCGUGGGGAGCAAACAGGAUUAGAUACCCGUGUAGUC
rnacentral:rRNA from 1 species